UCGUUCGCGCGCCGUGCGGUCAAACGCGCCUUGCGUCUCGGCCGCUCUACGACGAUCACAGCACGGUCGCACUUCGCACACAACGGUCGCACCCUAACAAUUCAAAUCAAACAUUCCAUUAAUUUGUACAUCUCGCGGCGAUAAAGCACGGAAUUUUAUUACUUUACGCCUUUUAUUCAAAAUUUUAUUUCGCGUCCUAAUGCAAUUGCAAUCGAGCAACGCGAUCGUUUCUAUUUCGAGUUGUUUUAUUUCACGUUUUAUUUACUUGUGCGUAAUUGAAAAUGGAAACCAGUUAUUGUAAGGUGAGUGAGGCAGGGAAUACAAACCUGACGGCUUUGUAGGGCGAGCGCGGUUCUCGUCUCGAGACAAAAAAGAAUAUUACACCGCAUUCAAUUCGAACACAGAAGAAAAAAUAUGAUCUGCACUUUUGUAAACGCAAAUGAGGUUCGCUUUGAAACGUGGGACUUAAUUUAAAUAACGUUGCUGAGCAGGUACCUGAAAACAAAGACUUCGGUCUUCGAAUAUAUGCUAAAAUAGUCGAGUGCUACUAAAACAAUGUUUUUGAACACCCUUACCAUUCAUACAUUUUUUUUGGCAUUUUCAUUCAUUUUGUACUAACGUUCCUAUAUAAAAGUGGUUACUAUUAUGAGAAUUAUAAUUAAAGGUAUGGUAGGUAUUUUAUUAUUAAAAAAUUAUGAAUUCCAAAUAAUUUUCAAAAA